CUUCUCUCCUCUCUUCCACUGUUUUUGUCUUGAAAAAUGUCAGAAAAUAGCUCCUCGUCGUAGUUGAAGUGCCAUUGUGGUUUGAUAGCUAGCCACUUAACUUCAAAAACUCCUUCAAACCCUGGAAGGAAGUUCUUUAAGUGUCCUAAGCCUAAGAUUAAUUCUUGUGGUUAUUGGAAAUGGGAAGAUGAAGUAUUUUCGGAUACUCCAUUGACUGAAGUCAGAGAGUUAGUGGCUGCUUUGGAUGCUCUUAAGGUUGAAAUAGACAAUUUGAGGAAAGAAGUAGCCAAAUUGGAGGCUAUAAGUUAUUCUCAAGUGAUUAAAGUGUCAACUUUGGAAGACAAAGUAACAAAAAUGUGGAUGGUAAUUAUAGUUUCAUUGGCACUUUUCGUGGGUUUCAUUACAGCUCCAAUGAUGAAAUGAUUGCCCUUACGAGACUAGUAUUUAUGUUUUUGGUGUAACUUGAAAAAUAUUAUCAUGAAGUUGUUUUAAAUGCCUUUGUUUGGAUGAAUGUAAUGUAAUUCCCUCGUUUGGAUAAAUUGUUGUUAUAAUAUGUCCAUUGUAAAACCUUCUUUUGGAUGAAGCAAUGUCUUACUUUUGCAUAAAAUUAUUGUGUAUGUUGUUCUUUUAGCAAAUCAGAACUAGUUAGGAAACCUGCAAUGUUAUCUAAAAAUAGAAGAAUCGGCUAUCAAAGAGAA